rnacentral:rRNA from 1 species
UGCAGGACACAUGAACAUCGACAUUUCGAACGCACAUUGCGGUCCUCGGAUACUAUUCCUGGACCACGCCUGGCUGAGGGUCGUUCAUAAUACAAAACCAGACUGCUCGUGCGCGUCUCCGGGCGCGUGCGAGCGAAAUCCUGAGUGCUCGUCGAUGACUAUCGCUUUAAUGUGCGAUAGACGAUCGGUGUCGCUCGAAAUAAUGCGUUUUGUCUGUCGAACGUCCGAGUAUCGUAAACCUGAAUCUCGGUCGAAUGAUCGGUGGACGCGAGUCGCCCUCGAGGCUGCCUCGUCGUGUCCCGGAGCUCUAUUAAUUGGGCGGACCGACUUGUGCAGUCUCGUUAGACUGUCGCGCUAGCCGCAAUGAGAUUCGCUCAAAGGUUGGAUUACUCGCAAAAAGCAUAACUUUAACGACGACCUCAGAGCAGGCGAGACUA